AUAAGUCAAAGGAAAACCUGUUAAAAAAGGGACGCAAAGCCGAAGGUCUAAGGCGUUUCUUGUACUAUGUUUGCCCAGUUGUCAGA
rnacentral:ncRNA from 1 species